CACUGACUCCUGACAUGUAUGUCAGAACUGGAACUUGUGUAACAGGAACCAAAUCUUCAGUCAAACAUUUUCAGUCUUACAGAUAAUUACCAUGUAUUGAAUGAUUAUCCUGAAUGAAGUGU